UACAGAGGUCUCGAGCGUUAGGCGGAAUCACUGGGCUUAAAGCGUGUGUAGGCGGCCAUAUAAGUCGGAUGUGAAAGCCCUGGGCUCAACCCAGGAAGUGCACUCGAUACUGUAUGGCUUGAGUACUGGAGAGGUUGGUGGAAUUCUCGGUGUAGAGGUGAAAUUCGUAGAUAUUGAGAGGAACACCGGUGGCGAAGGCGGCCAACUGGACAGAUACUGACGCUGAGACACGAAAGCGUGGGGAGCAAACAGG
rnacentral:rRNA from 1 species